AUCAAGCUGUAAAGAAGUUUUUCCUUCAGUCAAUUCUUUGGCUAACAUAUUAAGUAAAUUCCUUCAGUCUAAUUUAAAAUUCUGUGCUGAAGUAGUAGAUCAGCAAUAUAACUUGCUAUUCCAUGUUCCUACUCACUCUGCCUCCACAAGACCCCAUAUUGCAUUUCAUUUCUUUGAUUUUCUUUUCAUGGUCUAAAAUUUAAUUUUUCAUGAAGCUUUCAUGCUUUUUUGCAUAUAUUGUCUUUAUUCUAAUUAGUAUGUUUCUUAGUUUUUACAAUGUUUCAAAACUACUGAGCAACUGGCCUUUUCUUUUUCUCUUUAUGAGUAGAAGGUAAUUCCUUUUGUUUUAGAUUGCUUAAGGAGGAAAGGCGGCAAACCUGUGAAGGAAUUUUAGUUCCCUAUGUUUAUGCUGCUUUUGAAUUAAAGCUAAAGGAGGAUGCAAGAAUCAUGACAACCAAACAGAGGAAGCCAUCUUGUACCCCAACAAAGCAAAGCAAUGAUCAUCCAGGUAGUAACAUCACAAGCUUUUAUAUUUUUACCACUAUUUCCGUCAAAUAUUUUCAUCACAAAGUCUUUAUAUUUGGGUAUGCUACAAAUUUAAUUACAGCCAAUAUUUGUUUCAAUUUUCACAAAUUUCUUAUGGUGUAGAUGGUAUUUUCUUGUUCUAUAUGCAACUAGAUUGGAAAUGAGUUAUGUUAGUGCUUCUUGAAAAGGCUGCAAGUCGGAAUUUGUUGCUUGGACCCUUGAGCAGAAGAGAUUGGUUAUGCAGUUUUUAUGCAUUUUAAAUGUUAUAUAUGAAGUCCCAUAUCAACCCCUGCCCAUUCGGUUGGUAUCUUAUCUACUGUCAUGCAAAACCAGUGGGAUGAACCCAACUCAAAGAUUUUUUUCUUCCCUCUCAAAAACUCCAUAUAAAAUGCAUAAAAACCCCUGCCCAUUCGGUUGGUAGCACUGUUCUAUUACUACUGGUAUAUUAUAAAUGGAAAAUGGAUAUUUGGAUUUGUUAA